ACUCCUACGGGAGGCAGCAGGCGCGAAAACUUUACAAUGCCGGCAACGGCGAUAAGGGGACCUCGAGUGCCAGGUUACAAAUCUGGCUGUCGUGAUGCCUAAAAAGCAUUGCAUAGCAAGGGCCGGGCAAGACCGGUGCCAGCCGCCGCGGUAACACCGGCGGCUCGAGUGGUAACCGUUAUUAUUGGGUCUAAAGGGUCUGUAGCCGGCCGGAUAAGUCUCUUGAGAAAUCCAGCAGCUCAACUGUUGGGCUUUCAGGAGAUACUGUUCGGCUCGAGGCCGGGAGAGGUGAGAGGUACUUCAGGGGUAGGGGUGAGAUCUUGUAAUCCUUGAAGGACCACCAGUGGCGAAGGCGUCUCACCAGAACGGACCUGACGGCAAGGGACGAAAGCUAGGGGCACGAACCGGAUUAGAUACCCGGGUAGUCCUAGCCGUAAACGAUACUCGCUAGGUGUCGGCCACGGUGCGACCGUUGUCGGUGCCGUAGGGAAGCCGUGAAGCGAGCCACCUGGGAAGUACGGCCGCAAGGCUGAAACUCAAAAGGUAAUUGACGGU
rnacentral:rRNA from 1 species